AUACGGACAUAUCACGCUGAAAACCCUAUUCUCGUCCGAUCGCCAAGAUAAGCAAAAUUGAUCCUGGUUAGUACUGCAUUAGUGACCGCUUGGGAAUACCAGGUGCUGUAGG